rnacentral:misc_RNA from 1 species
GAUGAAGAACGCAUCGAAAUGCGAUAAGUAGUGUGAAUUGCAGAAUUCAGUGAAUCAUCGAAUCUUUGAACGCACAUUGCGCCCUUUGGUAUUCCAAAGGGCAUGCCUGUUCGAGCGUCAUUUGUACCCUCAAGCUUUGCUUGGUGUUGGGCGUCUUGUCUCUAGCUUUGCUGGAGACUCGCCUUAAAGUAAUUGGCAGCCGGCCUACUGGUUUCGGAGCGCAGCACAAGUCGCACUCUCUAUCAGCAAAGGUCUAGCAUCCAUUAAGCCUUUUUUUCAACUUUUGACCUCGGAUCAGGUAGGGAUACCCGCUGAACUUAAGCAUAUCAAUAAGCGGAGGA